GGCUGACAUUUUCCUGCCCGGAAGGAUGCAUGGCCCGGGGUCUCCUGCACCUGAGGGUGGGCGGGAGGCGGCCCCGCGGGUUGUGUUGCUGGAAAAAGGGGUCUCGAUCCAGACCCCAAGAGAGGGUUCUUGGGUCUACUUCAGGGAAGAAUUGGAGGCGAGUCACAGAGCGCAGUGAAGGAAGCAAGUUUAUUGGAAUCUACUCCGUUAGAGAGUGCAAGUCCUCAGACUGCAGGAGGAGGAACUCCCGUCCUUCGGUAGUGUCACUACUUAGAGGCAGCUGUGAGGAGCUGUGAUUAAUCGUGGAAUGUGCUGAUGUGCCCACUAAAGCAUCGCUGUCCUUGUCGGUGAGACCCUGGCUUUAGGGCAGACAGGACCACGUUUCAUAAGUUCAUGCUGUCCCAGCAGAGGAAUAACGCCAGAAAGUGUUCCAGUACAACCAGAGAAAGAGAGUCCAUGAGAAAUCUGCCCUUGUGAAGUUGGAAUCCCCUCAACCUCACCCCGCUGACUUGAAUGAAGCGACUGAGACGGGCUAUGAUGGAGCAGAUCCGGUUGCUCGACCUUCUCCCUUGCACCAACACAUGUAGUUAAUAGUUACUGGACAUGCAUAUUCAGUGGGUUCCAGGUACCAAACUUGUAUUGAAUGGUAUGUGCCAGACACCGUCUUGAGAUCUGGAGAAUAAAAAAAUAAAAAAAUAAAAACGA
rnacentral:lncRNA from 1 species